rfam:Homo sapiens chromosome 4, GRCh38 reference primary assembly.
AAAGCAGAUUUUUUAAAAUCUACAAACAUUGUGGGAAGGAUAAAAU